GGAUAACUCAGUUGGUAGAGCAAGAGACUGAAUGCCAGGGUCGUGGGUUCGAGCCCCACCAUGAGCG